AUUGAACGCUGGCGGCAGGCCUAACACAUGCAAGUCGAGCGGUUGAGGUAGCUUGCUACCGAAGCAGCGGCGAACGGGUGAGUAAUACAUGGGAAUCUGCCUGGUAGUGGGGGACAACGUUUCGAAAGGAACGCUAAUACCGCAUACGCCCUACGGGGGAAAGGGGGGGAUCUUCGGGCCUCUCGCUAUCAGAUGAGCCCAUGUCAGAUUAGCUUGUUGGUGAGGUAAAGGCUCACCAAGGCGACGAUCUGUAACUGGUCUGAGAGGAUGAUCAGUCACACUGGAACUGAGACACGGUCCAGACUCCUACGGGAGGCAGCAGUGGGGAAUAUUGGACAAUGGGGGCAACCCUGAUCCAGCCAUGCCGCGUGUGUGAAGAAGGCCUUAGGGUUGUAAAGCACUUUCAGUGGGGAGAAAAGUGAUUCACCUAAUACGUGAGUCAAUUGAUGUUACCCACAGAAGAAGCACCGGCUAACUCCGUGCCAGCCGCCGCAGUAAUAC
rnacentral:rRNA from 1 species